rnacentral:lncRNA from 1 species
GAUAUUAUACAACUUAACUUCACCCUAAUUGGCUAUGGACAUAGGAACUAGGGUAGAUUGAUUAAAGGUUUUCUCACCAAGGACUUGGGAUAAAAUACCCUUGAGAACUGGUAGUAAUUGAUAUUUGUUGAUGCAAUAGUGACUCAGAGUUGUUACAAGGAUAAAUCAUACACCUUCCCUGGCAUUGUUCCUUUUUCUCUAUAAAUCCUUAUU